UUGUGUAGCCAACCAAGACUGGUUGCCCACUGAAGCUAAGCAGGUUGAGUCUGGUUAGUACCUGAAUGGGAGACCUCCUGGGAAAACUAGGUUGCUGUUGGAA
rnacentral:rRNA from 1 species